AGUCUUAUAGUUUAAUGGAUAAAACGCUAGCCUACGAAGCUUGAGUUCCCAGUUCGAUUCUGGGUAAGACUA
rnacentral:tRNA from 1 species